AGUACAUAAGAUAUUGUAGCACACUUUGGUGACUGCAUCUACUGUAUAUGGAGAUCUACCUAGUCACACGACAGACAGAAGGGACUGAAUACAGUUGUACUGUUCUCAUUAAAGGAUUUCUGUCUUUGACCCGGAAGCUCCUGCUGGUCUAUAUAAUGUUCCAAAUCCUCUUCCACUCAUUGGACAACUGUAGUCAAAACCCUUCUCUUGCCAGC